CAUCACAGUCUAGGUUUUCCAAGACCUGAAAUCUUGAUGUUCUUUCUCCGUUGACUGCAGCGUUUUCGACUCCUUUCUGUCUUGUUCUUCCGGUUCGUCUUGACUUCUUUUCAACCAACAUCCAGGGUCCAUACGUCCCUUGGGUAGUGUUUCCUCUUUUGUUAUCCCCUUUGUCAAUUCCCUGGUUUGUUUUGUCAGGUAUGUCCCCUUCACAAAUUCCUUCCAUCCCCAUCUCACUUUUAGGGCAAAUUUCCUUUGUGUGCCCAUAAUGCCCGCAUUGGAAGCAGACCGUUGGAAGGUGCUUAUACUCAAUUCGUUGAGUUGCUCCAUUGACAAGAACCUGCGAAAUCAAGGGCUUGUCCAAGUUAACGAACACAACCAUUCUUGCGAAUCUCCCUCUUACACCAUUGUCAGUAUUAAAAUCUAAUUUUGAGACUUUCCCGAUCGUGGCCCCAAUUUCCCGUAAGACUUGCCGUUUAUACAUGUGCCUAGGAAGACCAGAGAGUCGGAUCCAUGCCAUAACUGUUCUAGGAUAUGGAUGAAACGGGUUAAAGUCAAUAGUCCAUGGUUGGACAGUUAAGUACUACCCAAAGACUACCCACAGCCCUUGACACAAAACUCUCUCAUAAUCAUCCAGAUUCUUGAAUUACGCUAGAAAGUAGCCGUUCUCCACAUCCAUAAGAUUGAAAGGCUAAGAGGGUUUCCAUAGUGCAGUUACCUUGUUUUGUAAUGCAUUAUAACCUAUAUUCCUCCUCAACAGUUUUAUAACUACCGUGAGUUGCAUGUGAUUAACGAGGAUUUGGGUAAUACGAUCAGAAAAAUUGAUUGAAGGGACUCCAUUGAGUAUCGAGCGUUCCACAUCAUCUAUUGAUAACUCAAAAUCUUUAUCUUCUUCUGCUUCUGUAGCAUUGGUUGGUAUCUCAAUCUGGUAGAAUCCUAAGCCCAUCAGAUGAUCUUUCCAAGAGAGAGAUUUCCUUGUUUCUUUUAUUGUUUCCAUGUCGGCAUCUCGACUCUCCUCAGAAUCCCGUAGUC
rnacentral:lncRNA from 1 species